UGGGGGAUUUUGCACAAUGGGCGCAAGCCUGAUGCAGCGACGCCGCGUGAGGGAUGAAGGCCUUCGGGUUGUAAACCUCUUUCGCUGGGUUGAAAGGCCAUGCUUUGGGUGUGGUUGAUUUGAACUGGUAAAGAAGUACCGGCUAACUACGUGCCAGCAGCCGCGGUAAUACGUAGGGUACUAGCGUUGUCCGGAUUUAUUGGGCGUAAAGGGCUUGUAGGUGGUUUGUCGCGUCUGUCGUGAAAUCCUGUGGCUUAACCAUGGGCUUGCGGUGGGAACGAGCAGGCUUGAGUGCGGUAGGGGAGACUGGAAUUCCUGGUGUAGCGGUGGAAUGCGCAGAUAUCAGGAGGAACACCGGUGGCGAAGGCGGGUCUCUGGGCCGUUACUGACACUGAGGAGCGAAAGCGUGGGGAGCGAACAGG
rnacentral:rRNA from 1 species